CCUACGGGUGGCAGCAGUGGGGAAUAUUGCGCAAUGGGCGAAAGCCUGACGCAGCGACGCCGCGUGAGGGAUGAAGGUCUUCGGAUCGUAAACCUCUGUCAGCAGGGAAGAACGGUCACUGGUCUAAUCAGUAGUGAAUUGACGGUACCUGCAAAGGAAGCACCGGCUAACUCCGUGCCAGCAGCCGCGGUAAUACGGAGGGUGCGAGCGUUAAUCGGAAUUACGGGGCGUAAAGCGCUCGUAGGCGGUAUGUCAAGUCAUAGGUGAAAUCCCCGCGCUGAACGUGGGAACUGCAUUUGAAACUGGCAAACUAGAGUGUGUGAGAGGAUGGUGGAAUUCCAGGUGUAGGGGUGAAAUCCGUAGAGAUCUGGAGGAACAUCAGUGGCGAAGGCGACUAUCUGGCACAUAACUGACGCUGAGGAGCGAAAGCGUGGGUAGCAAACAGGAUUAGAUACCCGGGUAGUC
rnacentral:rRNA from 1 species